rnacentral:rRNA from 1 species
AACGAACGCUGGCGGCAUGCCUAACACAUGCAAGUCGAACGAGACCUUCGGGUCUAGUGGCGCACGGGUGCGUAACGCGUGGGAACCUGCCCUUAGGUUCGGAAUAACUCCCCGAAAGGUGUGCUAAUACCGGUUAAUGUCUUCGGACCAAAGAUUUAUCGCCUUUGGAUGGGCGCGCGUUGGAUUAGCUAGUUGGUAGGGUAAAAGCCUACCAAGGCGACGAUCCAUAGCUGGUCUGAGAGGAUGAUCCACCACACUGGGACUGCGACACGGCCCAGACUGCGACGGGAGGGAGCAGUGGGGAAUAUUGGACGAGGGGCGAAAGUCUGGUACAGCCAUGCGGGGGGAGUGAUGAAGGGCUUAGGGUUGUAAAGCUCUUUUAGCCGGGAUGAUAAUGACGGUACCGGGAGAAUAAGCUCCGGCUAACUACGUG